AGCGAACGCUGGCGGCAGGCCUAACACAUGCAAGUCGAACGAACCUUUCGGGGUUAGUGGCGGACGGGUGAGUAACACGUGGGAACGUGCCUUUAGGUUCGGAAUAACUCAGGGAAACUUGUGCUAAUACCGAAUGUGCCCUUCGGGGGAAAGAUUUAUCGCCUUUAGAGCGGCCCGCGUCUGAUUAGCUAGUUGGUUGAGGUAAUGGCUCACCAAGGCGACGAUCAGUAGCUGGUCUGAGAGGAUGAUCAGCCACAUUGGUACUGAGACACGGCCCAAAAUCCUACGGGAGGCAGCAGUGGGGAAUCGUGCGAAAUGGGCGAAAGCCUGACGCAGCCAUGCCGCGUGAAUGAUGAAGGUCUUAGGAUUGUAAAAUUCUUUCACCGGGGACGAUAAUGACGGUACCCGGAGAAGAAGCCCCGGCUAACUUCGUG
rnacentral:rRNA from 1 species